rnacentral:rRNA from 1 species
CCUACGGGAGGCAGCAGUGGGGAAUAUUGCACAAUGGGGGAAACCCUGAUGCAGCGACGCCGCGUGAGCGAUGAAGUAUUUCGGUAUGUAAAGCUCUAUCAGCAGGGAAGAAGAUGACGGUACCUGACUAAGAAGCCCCGGCUAACUACGUGCCAGCAGCCGCGGUAAUACGUAGGGGGCAAGCGUUAUCCGGAUUUACUGGGUGUAAAGGGGGCGUAGUCGGCGAUGCAAGCCAGAUGUGAAAGCCCGGGGCUCAACCCCGGGACUGCAUUUGAAACUGGGUGGUUGGAGGGUCGGAGAGGCAGGCGGAAGUCCUAGUGGAGCGGUGAAAUGCGUAGAUAUUAGGAGGAACACCAGUGGCGAAGGCGGCCUGCUGGACGAUGACUGACGUUGAGGCUCGAAAGCGUGGGUAGCAAACAGGAUUAGAUACCCCAGUAGUC